GGAAGAAUAAAAGAAGCGACAAGAACACCAGAUUUACGUGGUUCGAUCAAUUGACAUUGACCUACAUCCACGGACGAAAGAGGAGAAAAUCACUACUAUAAAAGGGACAAUUACAAAUGCCUUAGAAAAAUGUUCCUAGGCCAUAAGACACCCGAAAUUACUGAACAAGAAAAACCUAAAGUAACAAAUUAGGUUUUCUUGUGGUGCCACGUGUGGUGUCAC
rnacentral:lncRNA from 1 species